rnacentral:rRNA from 1 species
UACGUAGGGGGCAAGCGUUGUUCGGAAUUACUGGGCGUAAAGGGCGCGUAGGCGGCACGGCAAGUCGGGAGUGAAAGCCCGGGGCUCAACCCCGGAGGGUCUUCCGAAACUGCCGGGCUAGAGUGCGGAAGAGGCAACCGGAAUUCCCAGUGUAGCGGUGAAAUGCGUAGAUAUUGAGAGGAACACCUGCGGCGAAGGCGGGUUGCUGGGCUGACACUGACGCUGAGGCGCGAAAGCUAGGGGAGCGAACGGG